rnacentral:piRNA from 1 species
UGAUUCUGAUGCGUGUCCAAGUUGUA